GGCCAAAGGAGGGGCAGCCCAGAGCUCUGCGCAGUCUGUGACACUGCUGACCAGUCUCCUGCGUCCUCCGUAUUCAUACCAGGCGUGCUCUCAGGAGGACGACCUUCUCCCCCUUUCCCGGGGCGCUUGGUCGUGUGACUCCCACCCACUGUGUCACGAGAGCUGAAAACCAGUCCCAGGCAGGAGGACAGAGGUCAGCGGCCACAGCCGCCCUGCCCGGCCGCUGGACAGUGCAGGUCCACGCCCAGCUUCCUUCUCUUUGAUGCUGCAGGUGACGGCACCUCCGGCCAGGUGAUGACCAGCACUUCAGCCCGAGGGGCACGUCCUUUGGGCUACACAGUUUUAAAUAACCAGAAACCAUGUUGCAACACUGGCUGCACAUUUUAAUCAUGGGGCGGGGGCAGCUUUUAAAAAAUACUGAUGUUCUGACUGCCCCCACCCGAAGCACAGGAGCCAGGAUCUGGGGCGCGGGUAUCCUGCGCCUUUGAAAGCUUGCCUGGUGGACGUGCUGUGCCCCUGGAAGUGAGCGGAAGGGGGAGAAGAGGCAGUCGCUCGGGGUAAAUGACCCUUAUUCCCGGCCAGCUGAAGAGCAAGGUCCAUCAGGAAAUGUAAGGGCAGACACUGAAGGACAGAGGAACUCUGAAAACACCCACAGAAACACGGAUGUGGCAACAUGAAGAUAAAAACAGAACCAGAGCCGGGGGCACAGACACACACCAGGGCCAUCUCUGAGACGACCCAGCACAGCCCGCAGAAGCUCAGACCAGAGCGAGCCGUGACGCGCUUCCCAUCCGAGACGAGUGUAAAAUGUGAGAUAAAACCCUUCUCCAAAGUUUCCAAGCUCCCCCGCAUCACUGUAAACAAACCACCUGAAGGACGACUUUAGUUACGCCGUGCACAGCGUGGUGAGUUUCGACGACGGAUUACCAUCACAGGCGAGAUCCAGAACGUUCCGCCUGCGUGCCUGUGUCCACACUGACAGCAAGCCUGGUGCAAGACCAGCCCGAGGAAACGGCUGCCCCCAGGAGCGGCCACAAAGAACGGAUGCCUUAAGCUCCGUCGUGCAGGGUCCGUGCGCCUUCCCAGGGUGACAAAGGCGGUCAGCUCUGUGUGGGCCCAGCGCUGGGCACACCUCCACCUGUGUGUGCAAAGCCGCUUCACCGGAAAGUCCACCCUCCGCCCAGAGGCUCCAGUGCAUGAGCCUGAGUGGCCGCCACUGAGCUGCCGGGUGUGAUGCUUAAUCUUACGAGCUGACAUGGCCCGGGCGUGGUGCCCGGUCGUGUGGCCUGAUCUGCAUCUGGGUGUCGCCAGGUGUCCCCGUGGGAACACGGCCGCUCGUAAGGCCAAGCCCUGCAGUGGGCAGGACCGUCUCAGCAGCCCGUCUGCCCUUCCUCUCCGGUGCCCUCCCCAGGCAGAGACCACCCCGCCGGCCCCUCCCGCGUGGGUUGGCUCCCCGCUGCCCUCCCGCACCCAGCACCAGCACCACGGCAGCCAGAGGUCAAGCCUCGCAGCCAAACCGGCCGCUGGGCCCAGGGGAAGGGGAUGUGGCCGAGAGACUCUUCAGCGACCGCAAGGAUCACUCGGACGCGAACUGCCUUAGGCUCCCGCUCCAUCCCCGUCACUGGCCUGGCUGCUUCUCCUCCUAAGUCAGAGACAGUUUCGAAAGUCACCUCUCCGUCGGCAGGGGGUUCAGUGGCAGGCCCUAAAGAUGGCAGCCCUCAUCCCCAGAUCCUGCGAAGGGAACCUCAUCUGGACGCCGCAGGUGUAAUCAGGUUGAGAUGCAUUCGUUAGACUGGAACCUAAUCCAGUGUGAACUGUGUCCCGGUAAGAGGAGGAAGUGAGUACCUGCUCCAGGAUGCUUGCCUGGAGAAUCCUACACGGAGGGCAGCCUGGUGGGCUACAGCCCAUGGGGUCGGAGAGAGUUGGACACGACUGAGCAACACACACACACACACACACACACACACACGAAGAGGAGACACACAGACACACUCAGAUGGACGAUGAUGCAAAGACGAUGCAUCCACCAGCCAGGAACACCACCACCCAUCUGAAGCUGGGGGUAGGGGGAGCCUUCAGAGAGAGCACGGCCCUGCCCACGCCCUGAUUUCAGACUUCCAGCCUCCAGACCCACGAGACGAUGCUUUUCUGUUGCUUUAAGCCACCAGCGUGCGGAGUUUCAUCACGACAGUCCCAGGAAACUCUCAGUCCACAAAGGUAUGACUCAGGCUGCAGGCCGAUGGCCUCCCCAUUCACAGAUGCCAACAGUCACGAACAAGGACAGCGUCCGCUUGGUGGCCACGAGAACCUUCUGUCCCACCCCCACCACUUCCUCUCCUCUCAUGAGCUAGGCGCUCGUGAACUUCAGUGAACCCCCCGGAGAAGUUGACAAGGAUGUCGAGAUAACAGGAACUCAGACCUCAGGGAAGAUGAAGUCACGUGCCGCCUUCUGAGCCCGAGUCAGCAACUCUGCCUGCUUCCUGAAAACAGGCCCUAAUUAGCGCACAGAGGUCAGUCACAGCGACAGAAAUGCCCAAAGCCGCUUCACCAAUUCCAGCCUGACCCCGGGCUGCUCAGACGAAUGACCUUUACCCUCUAGGCUGCCUUGCACAAGAAGAAACCACCACCCACGUCUGGCCCACUGUCCUUUUUGAGAAAUUCCAAAAGGAAGAGGUGAGGAAGAUGGCAAAGAGAACUAACAAACCAUCCAGACGAGCAGCAGCGCGUGGGCUGUGUCUUACGAGGGGAGGCUGUCACAGAAGAGCAGGUGAGCUUCAGGGUGACCAGUGUCCCCGCGAGCAAGGGGUCACCUCGCCCAGCAAGCAGAGCAGAACCAGGAGCGAGUCUGGCUCUCAAGCGAGCGCGCUGC